rnacentral:rRNA from 1 species
AGCAUACAAGGCAUACGGCUCAGUAACGCGUAGUCAACCUAACCUAUGGACGGGAAUAACCUCGGGAAACUGAGAAUAAUGCCCGAUAGAACAUUAUGCCUGGAAUGGUUUAUGUUCCAAAUGAUUUAUCGCCGUAGGAUGGGACUGCGGCCUAUCAGUUUGUUGGUGAGGUAAUGGCCCACCAAGACUAUUACAGGUACGGGCUCUGAGAGGAGUAGCCCGGAGAUGGGUACUGAGACACGGACCCAGGCCCUAUGGGGCGCAGCAGGCGAGAAAACUUUGCAAUGUGCGAAAGCACGACAAGGUUAAUCCGAGUGGUUUCUGCUAAAGAAACCUUUUGUCAGUCCUAGAAACACUGAUGAAUAAGGGGUGGGCAAGUUCUGGUGUCAGCCGCCGCGGUAAAACCAGCACCUCAAGUGGUCAGGAUGAUUAUUGGGCCUAAAGCAUCCGUAGCCGGCUCUGUAAGUUUUCGGUUAAAUCUGUACGCUCAACGUACAGGCUGCCGGGAAUACUGCAGAGCUAGGGAGUGGGAGAGGUAGACGGUACUCGGUAGGAAGGGGUAAAAUCCUUUGAUCUAUUGAUGACCACCUGUGGCGAAGGCGGCCUACCAGAACACGUCCGACGGUGAGGGAUGAAAGCUGGGGGAGCAAACCGGAUUAGAUACCCGGGUAGUCCCAGCUGUAAACUAUGCAAACUCAGUGAUGCAUUGGCUUGUGGCCAAUGCAGUGCUGCAGGGAAGCCGUUAAGUUUGCCGCCUGGGAAGUACGUACGCAAGUAUGAAACUUAAAGGAAUUGGCGGGGGAGCACCACAAGGGGUGAAGCCUGCGGUUCAAUUGGAGUCAACGCCGGG